rnacentral:rRNA from 1 species
CUGGGGCUGGAGCAGGUCCCAAGGGUUUGGCUGUUCGCCAAUUAAAGCGGUACGUGAGCUGGGUUUAGAACGUCGUGAGACAGUUCGGUCCCUAUCUUUCGUGGGCGCAGGAUACUUGAGAGGAUCUUUCCCCAGUACGAGAGGACCGGGAUGGACGGACCUCUGGUGUUCCAGUUGUCGCGCCAGCGGCACAGCUGGGUAGCUAUGUCCGGAAUGGAUAACCGCUGAAAGCAUCUAAGCGGGAAGCCAACCUCAAGAUUAGGUAUCCCUUCCCGCACCUAUCUUUUAUUAUCUUAUUUUUGAUUAAUUAGCGCCCUGUUAUAUUAAGGGGGAAUGUUAAUUAUAUACGUAAGGUAGUAAGAGAUAGGUGCGGGACUAAAGACCCCUUGGAGACUACGAGGUUGAUAGGCCAGGUGUGUAAGUGUGGUAACACAUUUAGCUAACUGGUACUAAUAGGUCGUGAGGCUUGGCCAU